AUGGUGAAAUCAAAAAUUCAGGAAAAUAACGGGGUGGCAGCAGCUGGAUUGGGGGAUUUGGGUCCCUGCGACGCCGGGGUCUGGGAGCAUCCAGGUGAGCAGGUCCUGAAGGCACAGACCAGGACAGGUGAGCAGCUCCAGGGGCUCAGAUCCCACCAGGUGAGCAGCUCCAGGCUGGAAUUGCUCUUGGUCCUGGUUGGUCUCACCUGGCUGAAGCCAAAAAAAAGAGGGAAAAGCCCCAAAAAUGAGAAGUUUCAUCCCAAGACAGAUCCCAGAGCCACAGGAAGGUCCGGAGCACAGUCUGACCAGUUUGAUGCCAGUGGAGAUGAAGGAGCACAGGUGAGCAGGAAGCACCUGAGGAGCAGCACAGGGAGUUGCAGGUGCUCCAGGAAGUUCACCAGGAACAGCAAAUCCACGGGGGACACCAGGAGCCAGACACCUGAGCACACCUGAGCACACCUGAGGGAUCCUGCUGGCAUGGUGGGAUGGAUCCUGAGGGCUGGAACGGCAGGAACAGGUUCUUUGGGAAACACAGCCAGGUGAGGCUCACCUGGCAUGGGCAAGGAGGCAGCUGGAUGCCCAGAGCCCACCUGAGGUGGGUCAGGAUCACAGGUAGGGGACAGGGACACUCCUGCACCCUCACAUCCCAAAUCCUGGUCCUUGGAGGGGCAGCUGCUGGAGGCACCUCCCAUGAACAUCUCAGGAGGUUCCUGCAGGUACCAGGAUCAGUUCAGGUGAUGGAGGAGCCAGCCAUGAACAUCUCAGGAGGUUCCUGCAGGUACCAGGAUCAGUUCAGGUGAUGGAGGAGCCAGUGAGGAAGUUGGUUCAACCCCCAAAAUUUUCCAGGUGAGUUUGGGGACUCUUGGCUCUCUUGUGCCAGUUCCAGGUGUUUCCAAAUCCAUCCCAGCUGCAGGUGAGUGGGAGCAUGGUCUGGAUGAGGUGGGACGGGAGGCCCAGGUGAAACAUUCAUUAAACAAACAGGAAUUAGGGAAAAAAGGGCUUUUCCCUUAAAAACAAGGAAAGUGGAGGCAGCCAUGGGAUCCAGGACGCUCCAGCUCAGGUGAGUCCUGGCACAGGUAAUCUCUGCCAGGUGGGAUGGAGAACAGGAGGGAUCUGAGAGGCUGCAGCUCAGCUGAGUCCUGGCACAGGUGACCCCAACCAGGUGAGUGAAGGACUCCUGGCCCUGGGCCAGGGACACCCUCUGUCCAGAGCCACCCCCACCAAUUAAAUAAUCAAUCCAUGGAAUAAAUAAUGGA
rnacentral:lncRNA from 1 species